CCCCAGCCUCUGCCCCCAGCCCCCUAGCCUGGCUUGUUGAGGCCAGUGGAGAGGCCACGCCCUGGGAAGGGAGUGAGUUAGGCAGUUUGCUUCUGGCUUGGGUGAUGCUGGGUCAGGUGUCGCUGGGCAUCGGGGACCAAGAUAAUUGUUGAGGUUUACUUUACUGUCUGAGUCACCUGAGGGAGGUCAUGUUACGGAGAGAAGUUUGCCAGAGGCUCCCGGAACAGGACACACCAGCCAACAGGGAUCGGAGCGGCCGCACCUGAAGAUCUUUACAAAUCCCCAAAGCAGGCGACACACGGACCACGAGCCUACAGACAAUUCUGGGGUGAGGCAGGAGGUCGGUAUAUAUAUAAAAUAUGUAUUUUAAGAUUUAUUGAGAUUUAUUUAUUUUUCCCUUUUGUUGCCCUUG